rnacentral:rRNA from 1 species
UACGUAGGACAGAGCGUUGUUCGGAAUUACUGGGCGUAAAGAGUGUGUAGGCGGUGUUCUAAGUUUGUCGUGAAAUCUCCCGGCUUAACUGGGAGGGUGCGGCGAAAACUGGAAUGCUAGAGGAUGGGAGAGGUAAGCGGAAUUCCUGGUGUAGCGGUGAAAUGCGUAGAUAUCAGGAGGAACACCUGUGGUGUAGACAGCUUACUGGACCAUUUCUGACGCUGAGACACGAAAGCGUGGGUAGCAAACAGG